CGUCGCGGGCGCGCCGAACCGCAUGGGUCCGAGGGCGAUGCGGACGGCGGAUGGAGGGUUUGGAAUCACUUGCUAGGAGUCUUAUCUCUCUGCUACCCAGGACAUCAUGGCAGUUCGCCUGGUAAAGCGAUGCACAUGCCUCUUGAAAGAAGCUGCCCAUCUGGCCCCUGCUAUGGCUCCAGUUGGCCAACUAAGACAUGCGAGGGUAGCCCAUAAGACUCUGACUUCUUCAGUCACCUCACCCAGUUCCCACUUCCCAGGUUCCUUGACGGAGCUGGUAGAGAAGGAACAAGUGUUUACUCCCUACCCAGAGAACCAGGAGGUGGACCAGCUUAUUGAGAAGGCCACCAGGCCAGAGGAGCUCUUGGAUCUUCUUGAUAGUGGUCACCACAUAAACCACAACCGUGCAGCCCUCAUGGUCAUCCAGCUCUCCCGCCUGCUGUCCCUAAAGCCAGAAGACAAGACUUCACUGAUCCAGAAUGCCCAUUUUCAGAAACUUCUCCAACUAGUCAACAGUGAGAUAACUGUGGUGUGGAAUGGGACCCUCGUGAAGCUGCUACGGAGCCUGUAUGCUCUGGCACUCCCCAGGGACUCCAAGAUGCUGCUGUCGGUGGAGCAGGAGAUCCGCUGGCGCCUGCGGAGGCUCAGUUACAAGCACCUGGUUUUCCUGGCAGAGUCCUGUGUCACCUACAUGCAGGAGCAGCACUCUCAGGAGCUGCUGGCUGAGCUGCUCAUGCACCUGGAGAGGCGCUGGACAGAAAUUGAAGAUGGCCGCACAGUGGUGGCCAUCAUGAUGAAGGUGGGGCACCUCUCGGAGUCGCUGAUGAACCGCCUGGAAGACAAGUGCCUAGAGUUGGUGGAGCAGUUUGGCCCCAAUGAGCUGCGGAAGGUGCUGGUGACACUGGCAGCUCAGAACCGGCGGUCUGUGCCCUUGCUGCGGGCCAUCUCCUACCACCUUGUGCAGAAGCCCUUCCCUCUGACAAAAGGCGUGCUCUUGGACCUGGCGUAUGGCUAUGGCAAACUCGGCUUUCACCAGACCCAAGUGUCUCAGCGCCUGGCUGCUGACCUGCUGUCCCUCAUGCCCAGCCUGACGCCUGGUGAGGUGGCCCACUGCGCCAAAUCCUUCGCCUUCCUCAAGUGGCUUAACCUGCCUCUGUUUGAGGCCUUUGCCCAGCACAUCCUGAAGAGAGCCCAGGACGUCAUCCUGCCCCACCUGUGCAGCAUGGUCCUGGCUUUUGCCCGCCUAAACUUCCAUCCAGAACAAGAGGAUCAGUUCUUCAGCCUGGUGCACGAGAAGCUGGAGCCAGCACUGGCAGGCCUGGAGCCAGCCCUGCAGGUGGACCUGGUCUGGGCCCUGUGUAUACUGCAGCAGGCGAGGGAAGAGGAGCUGCGAGCUGUCCUCUGCCCUGAAUUUCAUGCCCAGUUUCUAGGGGGCACAUCUCAGAAGGAUCAGAACACCUUUCAGAAGCUUCUCCACAUCAAUGCCACUGCCCAGCUGGAGCACCCUGAGUACACAGGUCCUUUCCUGCCGGCCUCAGCUGUGGCCACCAGGUCCUUAGCCCUUGACAAGACGAUGACCCCCUUGCAGAAGGAGCUACAAGGGAUUCUGAAGGGACUACUGGGGAGUGCCAACAAGGGCAGCUUCGAGGUGGCCACGAAAUACGGCUGGGUGCUGGAUGCUGAGGUGCUGCUGGAUGCUGAUGGCCAGUUUCUACCCCUGAGGGACUUUGUGGCACCUCACCUUGCCCAGCCAGCUGGGAGCCAGCUGCUACCUCCUGGGGCUAAGAGGCUAGCUUUCCUGCGGUGGGAGUUCCCCAACUUCAACAGCCGAAGCAAGGACUUGCUGGGUCGCUUUGUCCUGGCCCGGCGACACAUGCUGGCUGCAGGCUUCCUCGUGGUGGACGUGAGUACCUCUUGUUCAUGUGGUCACUGCAUGGGAGAAGCUGCUACCCACACUGGAGUGGGGAUUGGGUGAAAUCACAACCAGGCCUGGAGCCAAAAAGGUACAAACAGAGCCCUAGGCUGUGGCACCCAGCCCCUCUCCCAGGAGCCCAGAAAGUGAGUUUUCCAGUGGAUUGUGGCUGCUUCCAGCUCCCCUAUUCCCUGUGCAGCCUCCAACAUAGGACCUAGUGCUUGGCCUCCAUAGGUCUAUCCAGAAAGGUCACCAAGCCUGUUUGUUCAGCUUUGGAGGUCCCGUUCUAUGAGUGGGUGGAACUCAAGUCUGAAUGGCAGAAAGGGGCCUACCUCAAAGACAAGAUGCGCAAAGCAGUGGCUGAGGUGUUGGCCAAGUGACCUGUGCCAGCAGUGUGGACUGCACGC